rnacentral:rRNA from 1 species
GACGUCGUGCGGGACCUUGUCCGAGACUGCAACGCCACCAUUGUGUGCCUCCAAGAGACUAUGCUCGAACGCGUCGAAGAUAUUCUGAUCGCAAGCAUGAUUGGUCCCUCUUUUACUGCAAACUACCAGGUCCUCCCGGCUGUUGGUUCAAGGGGGGGCAUGAUCAUGGCAGUCUCCGACGCUUACUUCAGGCUUUCAGACUUCCAGCCAACGCAAGGAUCCAUUUCGGCCACCAUCACCAUGCUGGCUGAUGGCCUCGACUCGACCCUGUCACGCGUUUAUGGCCCUCAGGGGGAACAAGAGAAGUUGCUUUUCAUAAACGAGCUCAGGGGGCUGAAGUAUGUUGUGAAGCCUCGGUGGCUCAUUCAUGGUGACUUCAACCUGAUCACCAAAGCGGCUGACGGGAACAACCAAAACAUCAACAACCGCCUCAUUGGCAGUCUCUGUUCCGCGCUAAAUCACCUGCAACUUAAAGAGAUGCGGCUCUCAGGCCGAAAAUUCACAUGGUCCAAUGCUCAAGAGAGCCCGGUGCUAACAAAGAUAGAUCAUUUCUUCCACUCUGAUGAUUGGGAUGAGCUUUUUCCCAAUGCUCACCUUCAAGCCAUCUCUUCAGCCUGCUCGGAUCAUGCCUCGCUGUUCCUCCAAGGGGAUACUAAGGUGCGUCGGCGCCCGUCCUUCAAGUUUGAAGAGUUCUGGCUUCGACUACCAGGUUUCAAGGAAACGGUGGCCACGGCCUGGAAUAAACCAGUACAGUCAACCAACGCAAUCUGCAAGGUUCACAUCAAAUUGGCAUGGACUACAAAGGUUCUCAAGAAAUGGCAAAGAGAUACAGUUGGAGUCCUCAAAACUCAGAUUGAAAUAGCAAAGGAGGUAAUCUAG